AUUGAACGCUGGCGGCAGGCCUAACACAUGCAAGUCGAGCGCGAAAGGCUUUCGGGCUGAGUAGAGCGGCGGACGGGUGAGUAACGCGUAGGAAUCUACCUGGUAGUGGGGGACAACUUGGGGAAACUCAAGCUAAUACCGCAUACGCCCUAAGGGGGAAAGCGGGGGACCUUCGGGCCUCGCGCUAUCAGAUGAGCCUGCGUAGGAUUAGCUAGUUGGUGAGGUAAAGGCUCACCAAGGCGACGAUCCUUAGCUGGUCUGAGAGGAUGAUCAGCCACACUGGGACUGAGACACGGCCCAGACUCCUACGGGAGGCAGCAGUGGGGAAUAUUGCGCAAUGGGGGCAACCCUGACGCAGCCAUGCCGCGUGUGUGAAGAAGGCCUUCGGGUUGUAAAGCACUUUAAGUGGGGAGAAAAGGGUAGGCGUUAAUAGCGUCUACCUGUG
rnacentral:rRNA from 1 species